CGGAAUUUUAUGUUACAGCAAUUUUCUCCUGUAAAUAUUCAAAACAGAGAAAAAUGUUUAAUAUGAAAGUUUCUUCAUUUAUAAACACCUAAAAUAAUUUUUAAAUUUGUUUUUAUUUUACUGAAUUUUUUUGAGUCGGUUUUGAGUGUUAACAUUUGAAAUUCAAAUGGGAACCUAUAUUACAUAAAUAAAUAGAGUAAUAUUUUAAAUAAAUUUUGGUGCUGACAUGUAUGAUUUCCAUCAACCCGUUGACGAGUUAUUCAACUUUUUAGUUUUUGCAGGAGGAGAGUGGUUGCUUGUGUAGUGGCAUGGCACGACGCGCGGCGUUUGAAUAUUAAAAUUUGGGUUAUGAUAACAUGAGAUGUUUUGUCAAAAAAAAAGGUAUUCGAAAAAAUAUUGGUAAGGGGUCCGCGAUUUCUAAAAAUCUUCCAUCGGGGAUCCUUGAUCUACAAAAGGUUAAGAACCACUGAUAUAUACUAUUAUACCGUAUACACGGUAUCUGCCUAAACAAUAUAUGACCAACAAACUUUUAUAUUGGAUUUAUAAGAGUUAUCUUGAAGACUAGCACUAUUCCAGGUUAUUUAUUACUUAUUAUUGUCAAUAGCAAACUUUUAUCAAUAUUAUUGUGACAUUAUAGACACGAAUAUACUAUAAUCGCGCAUAAUGUAUGCAUAUUAUACGUAUAUACCUACUUACAGUCGUAUUCAUGUUUCGGUUUUAUUUCAGUUAGUUUUUUUUACAGUGAAACAUAUUGCUCUAAAAUAUAAAAAUAAAUUUGUUUUAUAAGUUCGGAGAGAGGAAAGGAUUUAUUGGUGCACAAGAGCCACAAAUUUCGAUGCAUAAGACAGCAGGCUGAUAGGUACAUAAGGAUACAACACGAUUGCACAAGAUUUUAAAUGCAAUGUUGCCAUAACGUAUUAUAUAUACGAACCCCAGUGUGCGAUAUAAUAUUCAAAUUAAUGAAAUAAAUUAUUAUUUUUACACAUUUUUAGAUGGCCAUGGUUAUGAACAUUGAUAAUAAUUUUUUGUGGCUAAAUGUAGUUUUCACGCAGAACGCAGUUUGCAGUAUAUAAUAUUAUAGUAAUAUAUUUAUUUAUACAUGGCAACGUUGUAUUUAAAAUCUUACGCAAUCGUGUAUGUAUUUCGAUGGCUAUUAAAAUAUAUACAAUUGCGCAAAUUUUGCUCAAUCGUUCUUCGCCGAUAUAUAAGAUGGAGGUGCUGUAAAAAAAAUAGUGCACAGUUACACUAACAACAAAUAAUAAAUCAGUUUUCGAAAAUACUGGUGACCAAAACCAUCCUAUGGAUACGGUUCAAAAAAUCGAUAGGUAAAUUGUAUGGAAAUAUUGCAAACGAAAAGCUACUAAUUACUAUAUCUACCGGCCGAUAAAAUUAAAAAUGUUUUAAUUUUUUGCUGUUUGUAUUUAUUUAAAUAUAUAUAUAUAACGAUUUUGGCAACGUCGAUUCCAAUAUCGCACCCAAUCGUAUGUUUUUGAAGCAAAAUUAUGUUCUUUGUUAUUCCGACACCGCGCGCAAUCGUACUGCACCUAUAUUAUUAUAAAGUUAUCUCAUAUCCAUCAGUGUUUAUACAAAUGUAUUAAAAAAUAAUAUUCGUUAAUAGGAGGUUAUACCCACAUUUACUGUCAGUCUCGCUAAUGAAAAACUAAGAAAAAUUACGUUACUAACCUAUAAAACAUAAAGGGGAAAGCGUUUUUGAAAAAAAAACGUUAAUUUUUAUCUAGAAUAUUAUCAAACAAAAAAAUUAUAGUCAUAUUGAUUAUUUUUUUUAUAUACACACCUAACGUAUGUAUCUACUAUCUAUACGUACUUAAUGUAUUUGUUUGGCAAUUUUUAAACAGAGAGUAGCAGAUUACCCUCGAAAUAUUCUCCUCUUUAAAUUAUGAUAUUGUUAUUUAUGUUUGAAAUUCAAUAUUGACAUAAAGGCUAUAAUGUAUGCUGCAGUAACGCAAUUUCAUUAUAUUACCCAUUAGUUAGACUGAAAUCGUUCAUACGGUUCUCUUAAUGAAACAUUAUUUCUUUCAUUAUUAUUAAAUAAUUUCACUAUCAUUCAAUAUGACUUUCGAAUUUAAAAUAUGUUAAUUUAUGCUAUCCAUGGUUUUAUAAUAUGUAAAUGUAUAAUUACACUAUAAUUUUGCUAAGAAUUUACAUAAUAUUUUAUAUAUUAUACAUCUUUAAAAUAGUUGGAGUAAAGGUGUGUAAACAACAAAAACAUUGGAAUCAUUUGUAAUGCUAUCUAUAAAAUGAAUCCUUCAAAUGUCAUUGUAAUAUUAUUAUUCCUUUAUACAAUUCGAAAAAACUAUAAGAAUACGAACAAUAUUCAUAACAUCCAUAAUUAUUCCAAAAUCAGAAUUUUGUCAAUUGUGCAGUCU